UACAGAGGGGGCAAGCGUUGUUCGGAAUUCCUGGGCGUAAAGGGCGCGUAGGCGGCCUCUUAAGUCGAACGUGAAAUCCCCGGGCUCAACCCGGGAACUGCGUCCGAUACUGGGAGGCUUGAAUUCGGGAGAGGAAUGCAGAAUUCCAGGUGUAGCGGUGAAAUGCGUAGAUAUCUGGAGGAAUACCGGUGGCGAAGGCGGCAUUCUGGACCGACAUUGACACUAAAGCGCGAAAGCCAGGGGAGCAAACGGG
rnacentral:rRNA from 1 species